AUCAGUCGUCCUGAUGGCAUCAACAUCCCUGAUGGCAAAUUCUACCUAGGAGAUGCUGGCUAUGCAUGUCGGCCAGGUGUUCUUCCACCCUUCAGGAAAACUAGAUACCAUCUGAACGAGUUCUUUGAUAGGAACUAUGCUAGGACUCCCCAGGAACUGUUCAAUCUCAGACACUCCAGCCUUAGAGUAACAAUUGAGAGGGCAUUUGGAGCUCUGAAGAACAGGUUUAAGAUUCUGGAUCAGAAGCCAUUCCACCCUUACCCUACCUAGGCCAGGUUUGUUCUUGCAUGUUGCAUUCUGCAUACUUGGAUCCUCCAAUGGGGCAUUGAUGAACUUGUGUCCGAGGAGGAAGAGGUGACGCCUAAGGAUCUUGACCUUGAUGGCCAUGGUGUUGAGGCAUUUGACAACGAAGCCUGAAAGAACAAAAGGCUGAAGUGGGCACAUACAGUAUGGGAUAACAGAAGUCAGACAAGGAUCUGA
rnacentral:rRNA from 1 species